AAAAAAAAGUCCCUUCGAAAUCUCACAUGAGGUACUUCAAAGUAUCCUCCCUGCUGAAAUUUUGUCUGAAAUGAUUAAAAAAAACGCGACUUUUAAAAUACAGUUAGACCUUUUAAAAUGACUUGACUGUUAUGACUAAAACUUUUAAAUAUAAAAUGCGUCUAAAAGUUAUAAAAAAAAAACAGAUGAAGUGAUUUUAACUGUUGUAAAAAGCGAGCAGAGACUUAAAUGCAAGAUGACAGUUUUUUUUUUAAUAAUUAAAGACGACACAAAAACGAGUUUUAAAUGGUAAAAGAAACGGAUAAAAGAUUUCAAACGGGCCAAAUUUGGGGUAUGACAGAUGCCCCUAUUUAAGUUUCUUCGUCACGAAGGUUUUAAAAGGGAAAACUUUUAAACCACAGGGUCGAGGAGACUUAAAUAUAAACAAAACGCCAAUUUUGGACCGUUUGAAAUACCAGAGAUGCGAUGCUAAUGAAGGUGAUGAUAUGACCGAACAUGAUGCAAGCAUGAAUGUACAGUUGAUGCCUAAAGACUGACUAGGGAACAAAAGGAUAGGUAUCACUAGGGAAGGAAAUGAUAGAUAAUGCUUAUGAUUGCUGUGAGAUAGCUUGAAACGACUGGAGUAUAAAUGAUAAUGUUUGUUAAUAUUGCUUCAAGGUAAAGGUAAGGACAUGAUUAGCCGACGAGUGGCGAAAGUAAAGACAUGAUUAGCCGACGAGUGGCGAAAGUAAAGACAUGAUUUGCCGACGAGUGGCGAAAGUAAAGACAUGAUUGGCCGACGAGUGGCGAAAGUAAAGACAUGAUUUGCCGACGAGUGGCGAAAAUAAAGACAUGAUUUGCCGACGAGUGGCGAAAGUAAAGACAAGACGGACCGACAGGGUUUGCUAACAUUGUGGGAUAGCAAACAUACGGUAAAAGUGAAGACAUUGUAAAGCUUGGUAUCAGGGGAGUGACUUGAUAAAGAUAAAGUUGAGGGGAACAGGGAAUUUGUCUGAAGACAAUGGGGAAUUAUAUAGACUGAUUACUGGUGAGACCUGCCAUUUUGGAACACGUUUGAUUUGCUGACAUUUUGGAGUUAGACACACUAGGGGUGAUAUCUGAGGAUAUUGAAAUAAGCCAUUGGGUAAAAAUGCAACUAUGUAUGGAUGAUAUUUAUAUGCGUGUUAUGUAUGCAUGAAUGAAUGAAUAUGUAUGAGACUCAUAUAACGGUAUAAUGGUAAGAUUGUUGAGACAGGACUGGGCAGGUCUACAAGGAGAAUGGCCCGGCAUCACUGUACGAACACUCAAAGCCUUCAUUGGGGAUAAAGUCACGGGGGAUGAAUCAACUAUUGUUAGGGUACAACCCUUAAACAUACUGCUGGGGUAAGUCCUCACAAACUGGGGUAGAAGUCGCCAUUUCAUCAAUGCAACACCGUAUUUUCAAGCUUGAAUAGUCAUUGCCUUUUGUAUAUAUAUUUGAAAUCCCUAACUUUUGCCUGGAUCGUCCUUUCGGAUUUUCGAUCCACCGGGGAGACAUUUUUCUUUUUGUAUGCCCCCUAAUUUUUACCUGGAUCGCCCUUUCGGGUUUUCGAUCCACCAGGGCGCUUUUUUUUUUUUUUUUUUUUGCAAUGACUAUUUCUUCUUUGUUGAACCUGCUUGUUUCGGACCAACUGUUGACACAUACUUAUGUGAUACAUUGUUUUUAAAGAUAAUAUGUUUGUCAUUUUUGUUUUUUUUUUUUGAAAGAAAACAUAAAAUCCUUAGAAAGGUUUUCAAAGUUUUCGCUUCAAGUACUAAUACUAAAAACGAAAGAAAGAUUUUUUUGCACAUAGAAUAAACAAGAAUUCCAACAAAGAGGCACAAGCUCAAAUUGAUUUAAUAGAAAUGGUAACCGGCCAAAGGCAUGGCACCACAGAUUACAAAGAGUUGGAAUAUGGUAAUUAUAUGGGACAGGUACAUUGAACACAAUAGCCGCUAUACUUCUUAACCACUUUGAAUUCCACAGUUUGGAUGCUUCAAUAUUAGAGAACUUCUGACAGUCAAGGUGUCUCGGGCGAGUGAUGUUUCAUCUGAUGCAGUUACUUGUCUCGAUCCUUAAUUUUUGCAUAGAUCGCCCUUGCGGGUUUUCGAUCUAUCAGGAUAUUAUUUUUUUUUUUUUGUUCUCUAAUUUUUGCCUGGACCGCCCUUUCGGGUUUUCGAUCCACCGAGACGCUCAUUUUUGGUUUAAGCCGCCCUUUCAGGUUUUCGACCUACCGAGCUGUUCUUUUAUAUAUUUAGACAAAGUAUUUCUUGACUGCAUCAGAAUUCACAGGACGAGGUAACUCCUCUCCAUCCAUAUUUGUAAGAAUUAAAGCACCACCAGAGAAAGCUCUCUACACCACGUAGGGACCUUCAUAGUUUGGCGUCCAUUUUCCCCUAGGAUCUGGUUGAAAGGAUUUGAUACAUUUGACCACAAGAUCUCCUUCCUUGAAUUCACGGGGAUGGACUCCUUUAUCGAAUGCUUGUUUCAUCCUUGACUGAUAUAGCUGUCCAUAACACAAAGCAGCCAUACGUUUUUCCUCAAUCAAAUUCAACUGGUCGUACCUGCUCUGGCACCAUUCAGCUUCAGACAAUUCAGCUUCCAUCAAGACUCUUAAAGAAGGAAUCUCAACCUCUACAGGUAGUACAGCCUCCAUACCAUAAACCAAAGAGAAAGGGGUUGCCCCUGUCGAGGUUCGCACUGAGGUACGAUAUCCAUACAAAGCGUAGGGUAACAUUUCAUGCCAGUCCUUGUAAGUAACUACCAUCUUCUGUAUGAUCUUCUUGAUGUUCUUGUUUGCAGCUUCAACUGCCCCAUUCAUCUGUGGUCUAUAAGGAGAAGAAUUGUGAUGUUGAAUCUUGAAGUCAUCACACAACUCUUUCAUCAUGUUGUUAUUCAGAUUUGUGCCAUUGUCUGUGAUGAUUCUGUUGGGAACACCGUAGCGGCUGAUGAUGUUGUUCUUGAUAAAUCUGACCACUACCUGCUUGGUCACAUUGGCGUAAGAUGCUGCUUCAACCCACUUAGUGAAAUAAUCGAUAGCCACUAAUAUGAAGCGAUGCCCAUUGGAAGCUUUUGGUUCAAUCCGACCAAUCAUGUCAAUGCCCCACAUAGAGAAGGGCCACGGGGAAGAGAUGACAUUGAGCAUAGAUGGUGGUAUAUGAAUCUUGUCAGCAUAAAUUUGACAUUUGUGGCAUCUCUUGGUGUAACGCCCUAGUCGUCAUUUAUUUAUUUUAGAGUUAUUUAGAGUCUUUUAUGCAUUUUAUGAAAUUAUGUGUGACUUAUUUGGUGUGUUAUUUUAUUUAUAUGAUUUAAUUUAAUUUAAAUAGAAUAAAAUGAAUAAUAGAGUUAUUUAGGAGGUUAGGGAUUAAUUGGAAAUUAAUAGAAUUUAGGGGAGGUUUAAUGUAAUAAGAGGAGUUACACUUUAAGAAAGAAAAGAAAGGAAAAAGUGAGAAAACUGUUUUAACGUGAAAACAAGUGGGAGAAGAAAAAGCUAGGCAAAGGAGAAGACCAAGAGAGAAGAACCUAGGAAUUGUUUUGCUGUGCUUUUGUCUUUGCAAUUCAAAGGUAAGGGUGGGAUUAUCCUUCAGUAAUGAUAAUAUAUGAUUUCUGAAAAUUAAGCAAUUUAACUGUUUUAUGGUAAAAUUGGGAAAUUAGGGUUAAUGGCAUUUUUGAAGAAAAUAUGUAAGACUUAGGUUUAUAAUGUUGUAUUUGAUGAUUAAUAUGAUUUCCUACUCUGUAUUGUUGAUGUUGAUCAUAAUUGGAUGAAGGUAGAAUAUAAUGGAUGAAGUUUUGAAAGUUCUGAAUGAAUGUUUGAUUUGAAUGAAUUGUUGUUGUUGAUGUUGAAUUGCCGUUCUUUUGAUAGCUGGUUGUACAUAGGACUUGUAAACAUUUCAGGAAAACGUUUUGGGUGAAUUGGGGAUUAAAAUUGGGUUUUUGGAGUGAGGAGAAGUCUGAAAAUCGUAGCUUUUACCCUGCCCAGACGAUUGGUCGCUUAAGCGAAGUAUCCGUCGCUUAAGCGAACAUUCAUGUGAACUACCCAGAAUGUGAUUUUACCCGUUCGCCUAAGCGAACAGUGAGCGAACUGGUAAGCGAAAAUUAAGUUUGAUUCUGCCAAGAAUUCGCUUAAGCGAAUGGUAAGCGACCUUGUGAGCGAAAAACCAUUUUGAUUCUGUCCAAAGUUCGCUCAAGCGAACCGUGAGCGACCCGUAAGCGAACUGAACCCAGACCUACUGUAAGUUGGUCGCUUAAGCGAGCUAGCCGUCGCUUAAGCGAACUGAGUGUUAGUUAGCUUUUUCUGAACCUUGCUACAUACUGAGGGAUCCUUUUGAGUAUUUCUAGAUGUUCCUUACAGCUUGUAUAACUUUUGUAUAGACUUAAAGUCCUACUUAAAAUCAUGAUGAUAAUUAGUUGGUUAAUUUUAUGAAUUUGAAUGUUGGAAUGCUUGAAUCAAUUGGAUGAACAUGUUGCAUUGAAAAGGUGCGGAGUCGUAUGAGUACAUAUGCAUUUGUUGUUGAGUUGUAUGCAGAUAUACACAAGUGGAGUCAGUUGCAUAAGCAUAAAAACGAUGAGAACUUCGGUUCUGGAACGCUUUGUCGUUCAAAACGAUGGAACACGAUGUUGUUCAAAACGAUGUUAACGAUGAGGACUCAUGUCCUGAUAAAAGAAUGCUUUAACCAUUCUAUAACGAUGAGAGCUUCGGCUCUGAUAUGGUACCACAUGCAUAAUUGCAUUUGUUGAGGAGUCUUAGAAGGGUUGUCAUGUCUUGCAUGAGUCUUAGAAGUGAAGUCGAGUAGUCGCAUGAGUAUUGUUACUGUUGACAUUGUUGUGGGAUGAUGAAGUUGAUAAUAAAUGUUAUAUUAUGAUUGUUGAAUGAUUAUGAUGAUAGGGUGUUAGAUUCAUUAUGUUAUUAUAUAUUAUUAUUAUUGUUGGAGAAUCUCACCCCUUCUGCUUGAAAAUGUUGCCCUUCCUAUGGGUAACUUGCAGGUGAUCCUGAGUAGUAGGUGGUGGCUCACAAAGUCUAGGGCUCUGAUACAUGGGAUGGGGUUUUAUUAUUUGAAUUCUUUCCUAUGUAUCGAUUUUGAAUUAUAACUGAUGUAGUUAUUUGGUGGUUGACUUUUAUGUUGAAACGGCCUUUAUGCCAAGAAUAAUUAUUGUAGACUGAAUGAUGAUGAAAACAAUCCGCUGCGAGUUUAAUGAUAAUUUUAUGAACGACGUUUGAUUAAAUAGAUUUUAUAUAUCCUCUAUUUAACAAUUUUUAAAUGAAGAAAUGUAGCAUGCCUGUUAUGAUUACUCUGAUUAUUGUUGUAUUACUACUAUUUAAGUAAUUUUGGGAAACGGGGUGUUACAGUUGGCAUGAUUGUAGCAAUCAGCGUGCAUCGUUAUUCACUAGUACCCAGCUCUCAAUAUCUUCUUCGCCAUGGCGUGCCCACAUGAGUGAGUUCCGAAAGAGCCUUCAUGUAUCUCAUGCAUCAACUCUCCUGCUUCAUACUUAUUCACGCAUCUGAGUAGGACCCCAUCAAAGUUCCUCUUAUACAAUACAUCUUCGUUGAGGAAGAAUCGGCUUGACAACUUUCUCAAGGUCUUCUUGUCUUUGUUGGAUGCCCCAGGCGGGUAUUUUUGAGUUUGAAGGAAGACUUGGAUAUCAUGAUACCAUGGCUUGUCAUCAUCAACUGCUUCGGCCGCAAACACAUAAGCAGGCCGGUCGAGGAACUGAACAUUGAUUACUGGCACAAUAUUGUGACCAUUCACUUUGAUCAUUGAGGAUAGAGUAGCUAAAGCAUCCGCCAUUUGAUUCUCAUCACGGGGCACAUGGUGUAGCUCUACUUUGUUGAAGAAAGUUAGCAAUCGUCUUGCAUAAUCUCUGUAGGGAAUCAAUCCAGGAUGACGAGUUUCCCAUUCACCUUUGAUCUGGUUAAUCACGAGAGCUGAAUCUCCAUAGAUGACAAUCUUCUUAAUCCUCAAAUCGAUGGCUUCUUCGAUACCCAUGAUGNNNNNNNNNNNNNNNNNNNNNNNNNNNNNNNNNNNNNNNNNNNNNNNNNNNNNNNNNNNNNNNNNNNNNNNNNNNNNNNNNNNNNNNNNNNNNNNNNNNNAGCUUCAACAUGGUCCAUACUAUUUGUACUUGGUCUCUGAAGUAUAAAAAAAUAAGAAAUAGUUCCUAAACUAUUAGUCCUCAUUUAUGUUUAAAAAAUAGAAGAGAUAGAGAUAGAUAGAUGGAGAGAGAGUUUGUGGAUUAACAUGAUUGAUUGAAGAUCGUUUAUAGUCUAUUCAUUCCAUUUCUAUAGUUUAGGGAUUAAAUAGGAUAGAUAAUGGUUCACCAAAAAAAAAUAGGAUAGAUAAUGAAAGUUUAGGUGAAAAAUUUUAGGUUUACUCUUCAAUAAUUCAUGUAAUUGGGUUUUUUUUUUUUUGUUGUGGUUAGAUGAUUUUCUCAUCAAUUUGUUUUGUUUUUGUGUGGUUUAAGGUGGUCGGCGAGGGCUAUAAAGGCAUAUGCAAUGUCGGAGUUGGAAACGAGGAAACUUAAGUAUCCUAAAUUAGGAACUGAAGCUCUUCUCAUGGGGAUUUUAAUUGAAGGUUUGUUGCAAUGCUCAAUUAGUUUUUCUUUUUUUCUUUUAUUUUGCUUUCAGUAGUAAUAGCAAACUGCAUUUAUCUUUUCGCAUGGAAUAGAUGCUUUAGUUAUUUGAUAUACAAUGACACUGUAAAAAUGUUUUUACACUAUCAUCCAAUCAUGUCAUACUUGAACAAUAAAAUGUGAUUGGGUGACUGUGUAAAGAGAUUUUAUACCGGCAGGGCAUUAUUCAUUUUCUCAAACCAUUAUGCAAUAAGUGGUUAUCAGUAUCACACAUAAGAGUUUAUUUUAUAAACACAUAAAUUUAAUAGGUAUAUGCAUUUGGGUACAUAUGGCACGUGCUAGAAAGCUUUUUGCAUUCUUAAUAUUUGUUUUCAUUGAAAAAUAGAACUUGAGAUGGAUGAAAUUGUACAUAAGUUAUUUCCAUUAGUUAUUUGAGUAACUUAUUUAUUAUAUAACUUCGGAAUAGAUUAUGGGCAUAUUCACAUAUAUAAACUAUUUCUAUAAUCUCUUUACAAUACUUACACGAGCACUUUUGUUAUAAAUCAUAACAUUAACUUAAAGAAACUCUUCCAUAUGCCCCCUAAAUGCGAUUAAGCACCUUUUGGUUGUGUUAUUUUAAUAUGUUCUAUCCACUGACAUCAUUUGUUAUAAGUUCGUUUCCAAUCCGGACGUCAGCAAGCCAAAAUAUAUUUUAAUGUUUUGUGCUUGCAUAUAUAGAACCAAGAAUGGAUGUAGAAAGAUUAACCCUGUGAUUUUUUCUAGAAACUGUGUAGUUUUGCCUACAGGAUUUACUUUGCAAUAUUGGCACUGUUCAUUUGCUCUGAAAAUUAUCGGUGGUCCAUUUUUUUGUUCAUACCUUCCAUAUGGGCCAAGAUGUCUUGAGUUUUGACAAAAUUGUAUCUGGGUCAGUUGUGUUUCUUAUAACUAGAUUCAACAAUUGCACAUUAUUAAAUCUUAAAAUUGGAUGCGUAGACCGGAAAGUGUCAAGACUGCUGUCUCUAAGAAAUGAGUUAUGGGUUUGAAAAUUAUAAUAGAUAGUGAGCUAGGCAUACCCAAGUUUGAAUAUUUGAUUCUAGGUUUUGUUUCUACUAAGAUUAUGCCAAAGUUUUUUAAAAUCAUGCCAAGAUCCUUCCAUUUAUUCGGAAGGAAGUUGUGUUUUUUUCAGGUUGGGUACCUUCUAUACGUUGUUCAGCGUUUGAUUAAUUUUUGCUGUCCUUUUCAGGAACAAGUAAAGCUGCAAAAUUCUUAAGAGCUAAUGGAAUUACUUAUCUGAAAGUACGCGAACAAACAUUAGAGAUACUUGGGAAAUCUUACUGGUCCUACUCCAGCCCUGUGGUACUGUCUUUGACUGAACCACUUCAUAAAGCCCUCGAUUGGGCACUUAAUGAGACAUCAAAGUCAGGUAUGGAUGAUUUAGGUGAUGACAUAUCUAUGUAUUCAGAAGUAGCCCCCUGCCAUUUUCCCAAUUGAUCUGCUAGAUUCAUUGUUCUGCUGGUGGUAGGGCUCCAUUUUCAAAUUUUGUGCCAUUGUGUUCAUGUUUUAAUUAAUCAGAAACGAUAUUUUGACACACAAAUUUCAACAACAGUUUGGAUGAUGCAGGUCAACUAUGUAGUUAAUUACGACGAUUUGUGUUGAAAUAUACACCUAAAAAAAUCAGUAUUGAUGAGUAAUGACGUUUAAAAUCGUGGUUAAGUGUGUUCAAUGGAUAACUAAUGGCUUGCGAAACUUUGUUAUACCUAAUAAGUUUAAAAUAAAGUAUUAACCAUCUACUAAACAUAACGAAUCAUAUAUUUAGGCUGUGUUAAUCAUCCAAAUUGUUGUCCCAUUUUUUUUGGUCCAAAUUGUGUAUAUCAGAGUUCGCAAGUUCAAGUAAAAGAAAAAACUCUGUUAUCUUCGUCUGUGCCUGAUCUGUUAGAAAAAGGUUGAAAUAUGAAAAAUGAUUUUAAAUUUUAAUGGUUUAUUUUUCCCCGCUGCUUAAUAAAGAGUGAAAAUCAGGUGUUGUUGUGAGAGAUAUUUACACUUCAGCCAGCUUUAGUAGUUUAAACUUUUACGCUUCAGCCAUGUUGAUAAUUUGCUCGAGUGUUUAGUCAUGCCUCAGUUUGUAAACUAUCUCUAUACUAUAAUAAGUGCUUAUCAAUCCCUAAUAUAAUUAUUAUUGACCUUCUGCUGUUGCAUUCUCUAACAAGGAGAAAUUGCACUUACCUCAGAGGUAUGCUUAAAUAACACAUACUGUAAAAGACAUUGAUGAGCCCUCCUCAGUCGUACAUCUCCCACUGUUGUAUCAAACAGAGAGAGGGUGUCGUUUAAACAGAAUUGAGUAGAGGUUAGCGCCGCAAGUGUUCAUUUCAAAGAUAGAAAGGAUGUAUGCACUGUUUUAAGUGUAUCUUGGGGGGAGGCGAGUGCAAUUUCCUCUUAUAAUGUAGAUCUUUAUCUAGAUUUCUUCUGAUCUUAGUUCAAUAAUAGGAAGCCACUUGUUAGAAAGGUUAUGUGUUACAUGUAUGGUGUCCACUGUCCGGGUUUGUGUCUAUGCUUCAUAAGAAAUGUGUAUCUCAGGAGAUAGUAGGAGGUAACGAAAUAAACAUAUGUUUUUUAUCUCUAUAAAUAUCAAGUGUAACAACUGUAACAAAAUGUACUAAAUAGACAUAGAAGGUAGUUAGAAAUUGUCUAGUGAGCUUGUUGAAUGUGAGAGACUUUCAGGACACUCAAGAAUUAGCCCUAUUGUUUAUUUUUACAUUAAUUCCUUCCUCAAAAUCACAUUGGAUUUGGAAGAAGUCUCAACAAGAUUCCUUCUCUUAAUACAAGUUGAAACUAUCAUACAGUUUUUAAUGUUUCCUUUUUUGUAAUACUAAAGUUAUUAUGAUAUAAAAUGUAGGUGAGGGGGAAACAAACGUGACUCAUUUACUUCUUGGAAUUUGGUCACAAGAAGAAUCAGCAGGUCGAAAGGUCUUGUCUGCUUUAGGUUUCAACGAUCAAAAAGCCAAAGAAAUUGCUGAAACAGCAGUAAGUUUCAAGUUCUAUUGCAAUAAUACAAUGUUUUAAAAAAUAAACUGGUGAUCAAACUGGCGAGACCUUCGAGCAUUGUUUUAUUUGGUUUCAUCGGUUCAACCACAGUUGAACCAGAUAAUAAAUAAUGCAAAAAUUUAAAACAUUUGAACCAACCGUGGUUCAACUCCGGUUCAAGCCAAUUCAACUGGACUUCAUGAUAACCGGAAUCAAACUAACGGUGAACUGUCUUAUUCCCAGUUCAAUCGGUUGAACUAGCCGGUUUGGUUCGAUUUUUUAAACAUUUACAAUAAUAUUCACUUCGACUGAUUGACUGACUAACACCUCAAUGACAAAAAUAUGGUUUUUGUUUCUUGUAGGCUAGUGGAGAUAUUGAUUGGAAUUUCAAGAAGCAAGCAUAAGAAUUUUCUGGGGAUAAAGCGAUACAAGUUCCUCUAGAGAAAAUUGACUAUACUUUCCCUCAAGUUUAUCAACCAGUGGAUACAUUAAUGUCCUUUAGAUUUCCAUGUCAAAUACUGUUGUACUAUACUGAUUAGUGAUUAUACAUUUCUCAUUCUUUUUUAUACAAGUUUUUUGGAAGUCGAAUUUUUUCGCAGUAGUGUGAUUGUGGAAUUGCAGUAUUAUUCUGCCUUCUGUUUUUCCCUUGUAACACUUUUAUUUUUUUUAUUUUUUUGUUUCAUAAAAAACAUCAAAUACUUAUAUAUUAAGGCAUCAAGCCUUGCUCAAAAAAACAAAAAAAAGGCUUCAAGCCAACAGAGAAAGAGAACUAUGAAACAAGAUUUGUAUUCUUCAGGCUCAAAGUUUUUACUGCUUGAGCUAACUUAUGAGCAGCUGAUGACAAUCAAUGAUCUCAGCUUUAGCUCAGAAGCUAGUUGGAGGCUCCACCCGAUACGAACACUUCAUCGGUACCAAAAUCUGAACCAAGACAGGCUUCUUGGUUGUUGCAAAGAUCACCUCACUCUUUUGGUUUUGAAUAACCCAUUCUCCAAAUUUACCUUAACAUCCUGCAUCAAGAGGUUUGAUAUUUGUGUUGUACAGCUCAACAAAAUCUUGGGUUGUUGAUUUGGCAACAAUUAGAGGAACAAAAUUAAUGUUGUGUUUGGUUUUAUUAUGUCAACCUUGCCAAUGUCAUGUCUAAAGCCAGGAUUUACCAAACAUAAUGCGAGAGUUUCAUUAUUAUGAUUUAGAGUGUAUAAAACACAAAUUUGUUAAAAUGUGACAUAAUCAAAUAUUUAUAAAUUCAACAUCAUGGUAAUAUAGCUUUCAAUUUCUUUUCAUAUGCCUUUGGGAAAUGGAAAAAAUCUUAUAUUUUUCAUGUGAUUAUGUUUGAAGUCAUGAGAGUGUUUGUAAUACUUCAUGUGAUCAUUUUCCUUCCCCUUUGAUUAUUUUCCAUUAUUGUGUGUAUAUAACAUGGAAUCAACAAAGACAAUAAUGAUGAAACUCAAGGAAAAGUGGAUUCCUAUUCAUGGAUUCCUUAACCAAUGCUCCGGAGGAACUGAUUAACAAGAUCUUUUCUUUUUUUUAACUAAAUCUAUCUAACCAUUGUACUAUGAGAUGAUAUCAGAUUCUUAGUUGAAAACAGAAUCGAGAAAUAACAGGGAGAUUUUGACCAUUAAAAAAAUAGCUAGAGAUCUUGAUCGUUGAUAAUAUGGAGAUUAAGAAUCUAUAGUUUUUUUUUUCUCAAUUGAGACAAACCAUUUCACUUGUACUUAGCAAAGUAAUAUUUAGGCAAAAUUACAUAUGUAUUCUCUUAACUUAGUUUCAGUAAAGAUUCUAUCGUUUUUCGUCUUUUGGAUCAAUUUACAUGUGAAUUUUUAAUGACAGACAAUUGCACAGGGUUUUUAGUCGUUUUUUAGAACUAAUUUAGGAUAAAAGUAGCUAGCUUUAAUUGUAUUUUGUUAAAAUAUUUUAGAAGAAAGUCAUGAGAAGAUAAGAACAUGAAAGUAUAUUUGAAGCCAUAGAAAUCCACUCAAAUCUAACAACUUUGUGAUUCUUGAGGCAUAGUUGUUAUAGAUGUUUUGGUGUGAAGAUGUGGAGCAGAAUCAUGCAUGAAGAAGCCUCAUCAACCCUUGCAAUGUGUGUUGUGAGCAGCGCAACGCUAAUUCAGAGAAUUUUCCAAGGAUCAGCAUCGCGGGCUGCAAAAGUUGUUAAAAACUCGCUUUACCCCCCUAAAAACAUUUCGGUUUGGAAUUGGUCCUUUUAAAAAAGAAAUCCGGAACACCCCCUUCCCCAUCCAACUCAUCAGAAUUGAUGACAUAGCGCUGAGAUGUCAUUUCUUUUUAUUUUUUAUUUUUUAAUGGGCCACAUGUAUAAAUCCCUUCCAAAUUGUAUUUUUUAGAUUCUUUUUAUUUUAGAUCGUAUAAGAAAACUCUGGAGACAAUUUAGAUUCUCCGAAAACAUGUUGAUUUGGAUUCUGUUAAAGCUAAGAUGGAAAACGGGGGGCUAUUAGUUGGUUUCUCAUCCUCCUAACCAAUACUGACCACUCACUCUCUUCCAUUUUUUUUUUGUUUAUAUAUAUUUCAUCUUUUCUCAAACCUGACAUGUCUAUGUAUCAUAUAACAUGUCCUUAUGGAAAUGAAUAUCGGGUAUGAUAGGAUAUGAGAGUGUUGGGAGAAUCUACUAAUGGUAGCAGUGAUAGUGGCGGAGCCAACAAUGUUUUUAACGGAAGCGCCAUAUUUUUACAAUAUAUACAUAUAUUUUCAUUAAAUACUUUUAUAUAAAGUUGUAGCUCAAGUGGUUUGGGCGUUUUUAUAUUUAGAUCCCUUAACUUUGGUUCGAAACUCUUUGUUCAGGAACAAACUCAUGACACAGAGCUCAUAGGCGUCCUGCUUCACCACUACACUAGAUGUAUAUGCUUGUAAUAUAAAUGCAAAUGUUUUUUUUUUUUUUUUUUUUUUUUUUUUUUUGUGAUGGCCAGAGUUUGAACCUGGACCUUGCAUAUUUUAUGCAUUGUCCAUACCAAUUGAGCUAAACUCACGAGCACAUCUAAAUGCAAAUGUUAAUAUAUAUAAUAUAAAGUUUAGAAUUAAAUAUAUUUUUUAAUUUAAUUUAUAUGAGUUGUCUACAUUUGUUUUCACACUCAGCCUCUCACUACUGUAAAAUUACACAAAGUUAUAAUAUAUUUUUUUAUUUCAUUUAUAAAUGAAACAACUGAAGUAGAAUUCAUAAAAAUCAGGGUACAACGUUUUGGUACCGUUGGAGAUGCUGAUCACCUUGCUUGGAAGGCCAGAGGAAUGUGCAACAGUUUCAACAACAGUUUGGAUGGUUAUUAUUAUGAUUUAGAGUGUAUAAAACACACAUUUGUUAAAAUGUGAAAUAAUUAAGUAUUUAUAAAUUCAAAAUCAUGGUAAUAGAGCUUUCAAUUUCUUUUCAUAUUCCUUUGGGAAAUGGAAAAAAUCUUAGAUACUUCAUGUGAUUAUGUUUGAAGUCAUGAGAGUGUUUGUAAUACCUCAUGUGAUCAUUUUCCUUCCCCUUUGUUUAUUUUCCAUUAUUGUGUGUAUAUAACAUGAAUCAACAAAGACAAUAAUAAUGAUGAAACUCAAGGAAAAGUGUAGCCAUACCCUUAAUCUUGAUUUGAACUAAAGCCAUCGUUCUUAGACACAUUCAAUUUAUUGAUCUUGAUUUAAAAUACAAAAGAAAAAUUAAAGCACAAAAUCAAUCAAGCUUAAAGUGAAAACAAGAAAAGCAAAUUUUAUUUGUUACACCGAUCGAUUGGAUGAAAAUUUUCCUUGUAAACUAGCAUAUUAUAACUACAGUCCCCUUCUUCAGCACCAAAAUCUUCAAUUAUAUGUGUAGUUAAGUCAAUCCAAGCUAAUUCAUUUAUCUAUCCUUUUGAAAAAUAAUUUUCCCUUUGCCACUCCAAUUAGGUACUAGAUGGAAGGCAAAAAUCCAACAAUGAAGAGUUUGAUCCAUGAUUCUUUCACAUUUAACUCACCAAAAUUUGAUAUGUUAAAAGUAGUCUUCUCUUCGUGAUAUGUGACCAGGGCAAUGGAUUCGUUUAACACCAUCAAGCGUCUCCAUAAAUAUCCUUCAUCAAAACCACAAUCUAUGUCUGAUGGUAUAGCUGUGUGGUAAAGAACGUCUCAUUGCUUAAGUCAAACGACACUAAAUAUGAUUCAAAAUCUAUAUAGAUAACCAAUGAAACAGGAGAUCCAUGUACACUCUAGCAUGAGGAGUAUGGUAAAAUGUAGGCAUAACGACAUCAAGUUUUCUCCAAGAAUUACUUCUUAAGUUAUAUAUGUCCCAGAAGGGUUCGAAAGUUAUAUCUCUCAAUGACACAUAUCCGGUACAUGGAAACGAACGUCGCAUAAAUUGUAUAUGUUGAAGCACCUUAUAGUCAUGCUUAACACAAUCAUAACCACAUCCAUGAACACUCACAUCCACGGUAACCGGUUGAGUUUUAGUCGGACUUCGAGGAAUGACCUUUAAUUCAUCCGUAGUUGGAUUCCAUAGUAAAACUCUUGUAUAAUUUUCCAAAUCAUUACCACGAAGAUGACAAUGAACACAUAUAUCUCAUUAAUACCACCCAUAUUUAAAAUAUCAAACUGAAAGCAAGUUUCAGUUUCCUCUUGAAAUGGAUUUGGAAAAUCUAGUUUGGCCAUAUUCUCAAUCCUCUUGUCUAAAAGAGAAUACAUCGUGAUUGAUUUAAAUUAAACAGCUGUCGUAGAAGGAUAAAGGCAUCAUGGCGAUAAGAAGGGUCUUUGGAUAAAAAAUAAUUGCAGACCAUGUUCAUGAAAUAAAUGUUUUCAAAUAAGAGGGACCAUGAUUUAUAGACGCAUCCAAAUCACUUCAAAGAUUUAAGAGAUAAUUUCGAUAGAAUAGAGAAGAGUAUAUCAUCAUGUAAAUAGGUGUUUACCUAAUCAAGCAAAGAGCUUUAUAUAUUUUUUUUCUUUUGAAACAAACCCAACCGCCUUAUAUGUCUCUCUCACUAAACUAAAACAAAUUUUUAAACAAAAAAAAACUAAAAAAAUAUAAUGGAUAAAGUCAUUGGUUUUUUUUCUUCUUUAAACAAAAAAAUCAUUCAUCUUCUUUUCUUUUUUUCCUUCAAAAAAUCAUUUAUUUCUUAAGGGUGGAUAAUAGCAUUGGUGUUCCUAAAAUUAUAUCUUUUUGCAUGACAUCAAUAAUAUAACAAUAUUAUAAAAAAAUUUGCUUAAGGAUAUAAUUAGAAUAGAAAAAUAACCUAACCUAAAAUCUCAUAUUUUCUUUGGUGUGUACUAGCGAAAAGGCGGGCACAUGCGCUAAAAUUUAAAAAUUAUGAACUAUAUUUUUUUUUAUGAGAUUUUGAUUAAAACUAAUGUUUGUUGCUUUCUAGCUAUAACAAACCAAAUUAAAUCUAUUUGUUUACCUGUGUUUUCGGCAAACUACGGGCCAGUUCUGAUUGUUGAAAGUGAGACCGAACUAGAAAUCUCAAGACAUGUUGUGCAAAGGUUUUGAUAGAAAAAUGUUUGAAAAAAGGGCCAUGAGAUGCACUCAGGUUACUUAGAGAGCAGGAUGGGUUUUGAAAUAAAAGGGCACUGUCUCUCGACAGGUUUGAGAUUACAAGUAAAAGCAAGAUAAAGUUAAAGGAAAAGGUAAAAGUUUAAACGCAUAAACUUAAAAGGAAUGUAAAAUGCAUUGUAUUAAAAUCAAUGAGUGUCGAAGGAAUAGCGAAAAAAGAAUGAUUUCUAUUUUAUUAUUGAGAAAAAGCAAUCUUGUCUUGCUUCUUGGAAGAAUAAACUGUUAAACAAAUCUGGAAGAAUGACUCUUGCCUCCUCUGUUCUCUCCUCUAUUCCUCCAUAUUAUAUGGAAUUUUUUUGGCUUCCUCAAUCAAUUUGUAAUCGCAUUGAUCAAACAACCAGGAAUUUCAUCUGGAAAGGUUCAAAUGAUAAAGGCAUUCAUCUGGUAGGUUGGAAAAAACUACCCGUCCCAUGACUCUUGGUGGCCUUUGAAUCAGGAGAGCCAGGGAAUUGAAUACUUGCCUUCUUGGAAAGCUUGUUUGGGAUUUGAUCCAAUCAUCUGAAAAACUUUGGGUCAGUAUCCUCUCUAACAAAUAUGUGGUUGGUCAUAACAUCCUUCAAGCAACUAAUAAUUCGAACAACUCUCCAAUUUGGUCCUCAAUUAUCAAAGCUAAAAAUGCCCUUAAAGUGGGAUACUCUUGGUGUGUCGGGUCCGUUUCUUCAUCCUUUUGGUUUACUCGAAGGAGCUUUUUUGGUGUUCUUGGGUCUCUUGUCCCUUAUAUUGACAUACAUGACUUGCAUCUAACCGUAAAAGAUGUGCUCACUUCUAAUGAUCCCCACACGAAUAUUCUGCUAUCUAAUACAAUUUAUGAUCACAUAAACCUCACUCACAUGAAUUUCAAUGAUACCGAGGAAGAUCCAGUUCUAUGGAACAACCAAAAGAAUGGUAUUCAUACUCCAAAAAGCGGUUACAUCUGGCUUCUCAAUAAUUCCGACAGAGUUGAUCAAACCAACACCUUCACUCUUUGAUUUGGAUUUGGAAGUUUUGUCUUCCCGAAAAAUAUAAAUUUCUUUUUUGGCUGACUUGUAACAAUCCGGUUCCUACCUUAUCUUUGCUAAACCACAUGAAUAUAGCGCCUUCUGCUAUUUUUUUAGAACGAGACCUUCUCGUUGCAGUCUUCAGAAUGAGACCUUUCUUCAUUGUGUUUGAGACUGCAACUUUUCCCUUAGGAUAUGGCAUCAAUUUGGCUUCACUAAUUCUGAGUUUUUCUCUCCCAAUGAUGCACAUGACUCGCUUAAAGAGGGUGCUAGGGGUUCUCAAGCAACCACAGUUUUAGCUAGAGUUUGGUGGUCUUGGUGCCUUCGUAACCUGGUGUGUUUGGCGGUGAAACUUGAUCUUUACACAUGCUUAUUUGUAGCAUAAAGCAUUCAAUUGAGGUAAUAACAAACAACUUUACUCCCACUGCUCUUGUUACUCCAGUUAACCGAUAUGUCAAAUGGAACAACAAUAAUCUCUCUUAUGUUAUUUUGAAUGUUGACGGUAGCUGCCAUGGUACUCCUCUCAUAACAGAGAUUAGAGGGGUUUUGUGUAAUAAUUCAGGUUUGUUUCUUGCGGGUUUUCUGAUUUUCUUCCAAACUCAUAUGAUAUUAUGCUAGCUGAAUUUUCUGCCAUUUAUCAUGGUCUGGUCAUGGCUAAUGAUUUGGGUUAUUCAGAACUAGCUUGUUAUUUUGAUUCUCUUGUGGCUAAUGAUAUGGCUAAUGAUUUUAUUCUGAACUUUAUCUUGUUAUUUUGAUUCUCCAGCUGAACUUUGAUUUUACUUGGAUCGUUUUAAACUUUCGAAAUGCAAAACAAUUCAAGUUCAUAUUAUUUUACCAAACAAAACAGCCAAUGAGAUAUUACUAACCCUAUAUCAAAUAAAAGAAAUUAAUGUUGUGUUUGGUUUUGUUAUGUCAACCAUGCCAAUGUCAUCUUUAAGCCAGGAUUUACCAAACAUAAUGUGAGAGUUUCAUUGUUAUGAUUUAAAGGGUAUAAAGCACACGUUUGUUAAACUGGGAAAUCUAACUAUUACUACUUCAGAAAACCCUCGAUUGGCCAAUAGUUUGUUUCAUAAUGUGAGAAUUUUCUAGAGAUAAAGGAUUGAUUGAUCCCUAUUGAACCCUGGUUCUACAAGUUCCUCUAGAGAAAAUUGACUAUACUUUAAUGUUGUACUACACUGAUUAGAGAUUAUACAUUGCUCAUUCUUUUUCAUUCAAUUUAUUGAUUUUGAUUUGAAAUACAAAAAAAAACAUUAAAGCACAAAAUCAACAUCUCAAUAAGCUUAAAGUGAAAACAAGAAAAGCAAUUAUUUUUAUUUAUUACACCGAUCGAUUGGAAGAAAAUUUUCCUUGCAAACUAGCAUAUUAAAACUACAGUCCCCUUCUUUAGCACCAAAAUCUUCAAUCAUAUGUGUAGUUAAGUCAAUCCAAGCUAAUUCUUUAUCUAUCCUUUUGAAAAAUAAUUUUCCCUUUGCCACUCCAAUUGGGAACUCGAUGGAAGGCAAAAAUCCAAAAAUGAAGAGUUUGAUCCAUGAUUCUUUCACAUUUAAUUCACCUAAAAUUGAUAUGUUUAAAGUAGUCUUCUUUUCGUGAUAUGUGACCAGGGCAAUGGAUUCAUUUAACACCAUCAAGUGUCUCCAUAUAUAUCCUUCAUCAAAACCGCAAUCUAUGUCUGAUGGUAUAGCUGUGGUAAAGAACGUCUCAUUGCUUAAGUCAAACGACCCUAGAUAUGAUUCAAAAUCUAUAUAUAACCAAUGACACACUCCAUCCAUGUACACUCUAGCAUGAGGAGUAUGGUAAAAUGUAGGCAUAAAGACAUCAAGUUUUCUCCAAGAAUUACUUCUUAAGUUAUAUAUCUCCCAAAAGGGUUCGAAAGUUAUAUCUCCCAAUGACACAUAUCCGGUACAUGGAUACGAACGUCCAAUAAAUUGUAUAUGUUGAAGCACCUUAUAGUCAUGCUUAACACAAUCAUAACCAAAUCCAUGAACACUCACAUCCACAGUAACCGGACUUCGAGGAUCCUUAGUCGGACUUCGAGGAAUGACCUUUAAUUCAUCUGUAGUUGGAUUCCAUAGUAAAUCUCUUGUAUAAAUUUCCAAAUCAUUAUUACGAAGAUGACAACGAACAUAUAUAAUGUCAUUAAUACCACCCAUAUUUAAAAUAUCAAACACGAAGCAAGUUUCAGUUUGCUCUUGAAAUGGAUUUGGAAUAUUUAGCUUGACCAUAUUCUCAAUCCUCUCAUCUGAAAGAGAAUACAACGUGAUUGUUGGUGAAAACACCUGCCCUAGAAGGAGAAAGGCAUCACGGCGAUGAGAAGGGUCUUUGGAUAAAAAAUAACUACGGACCAUGUUCAUGAAAUAAGUGUUUUCAAAUAAGAGAGACCAUGAUUUACGGACGCAUCCAAAUCGCUUCAAAGAUUUAAGAGGUAACUUCGAUAGAAUAGAGAAGACUAUAUCAUCAUGUAAAUAGUUGUUUACCUUUUCAUUGGUCACAAUCAAAGAUUUCUUCUGGUGUGACAUUGAUUGUAGUGGAUUACCAGAUUAUGAGAGAGCUACUCACACUCAAGCAAAACCUAAAAAAAAUCAAGCGAUGAAUGAUAUUUGUUUGGCGAUAUAAUUAUAAAACGUAAUCAAGCAAAGAGCUUUAUAUAUUUUUUCUUUUGAAACAAACCCAACCGCAUUAGAUGUCUCACUCUCACUAAACUAAAACAAAUUUUGUAACAAAAAAAAAACUAAAAAAAUUUAAUGGAUAAUGUCAUUGGUUUUUUUUCUUUCUUUAAACAAAAAAAUCAUUGAUCUUUAUUCUAUUUAUUUUCCUUCAAAAAAAUCAUUCAUUUUUUAAGGGUGGAUAAUAGCAUUGGUUUUCCUAAAAUUUUACCUUUUUCCAUGACAUCAAUAAUAUAACAAUAUUAUAAAAAAAUUGUUUAAGAAUCUAAUUAGAAUAAAAAAAUAACCAAACCUAAAAUUUCAUAUUUUCUUUAGGAGAAAACUUAGGUACAAUUCCUUAGGUGCUUUUCGUAUGGUUCUUAACUAAAUUCACCAUGAUUUCCUCAAAUUCAUAAUUUUCUCAAUGUUUGUUAUAUCCAAAAAAUAUGUAUUUUUAGUUAAGAACCAUACGAAAAGCACCUAAGGAAUUGUACCUAAGUUUUCUCCUUUUCUUUAGUGUGUACUAGCAACAAAAAUUUGUGAAGUGUGUACUAACAACUAAAAUUUGUUAAUUAUGAACUAUGUUUUUUUAUGAGAUUUUGAUUAAAACUAAAAAUAUAAAUAUUUGUUGCUUUCUAGUUACAACAAACCAAAUCAAACAUGAUUAUCUAUUCCAAUAACAUCAAUAAUAUAACAAAAAAAUAUAAUCUAACUUCUUUUUUUAUGACACCAACAAUAAUACAUUCUUAAAUAUAUGACACAACAUAUGAGGAGUUUGACAUGUCUUAACCACUGGGAUUCGUUCACCAGACCUAUCCAAAUCAUGUGUGUAAACUACCGAAAUCUCUCUACAGUCUCAUGCAAUCUCCGUGUGCAUGGUACAAUGCACUACAUUGAUUUUUGGUACAAUAUGGUUUUUCCAAAGAUAUAUUGAUGAAAGGUAACAUGCUUGAUGCCAAAACCUGUAUGAGCUACCAUGUUUACUUCCUGCUCUCUCAUCUCAGAUGUUGACACUCAAUUGUGAUCCCCCAUAAUAUAGUAACAUCAUUGGCUCCAUACGACUCGUACAAAACAUAUUAGUCUUACUGCUUUUUGCGAUGCAGACUGGGAAGGUGACAUGAAUGAUAGAAAAUUUAUACGAGUUUACACUGUCUAUCAUGGUCCCAAUUUCAUAUCAUUGUCAUGCAAGAAACAAUCUACAGUUGCACACUCAUCAACUGAGGGUGAGUGUCGUGCCAUUGGCUCCACCACUGCAAAAAUUCUUUGGUUGAAACAACUCUUACUAGAACUUGGCAUUCACACAUCUCAACCGCCAAUAAUUUUUUAUAAUAUUGGUGCAAAUUAUUUGUGAGCGAAUCCUAUUUUCCAUAUGUGUAUGAGAAACCUAGCUAUCAUAUGAAGAAGAUGGUAUGACAUGUUUUCUUUGCUAAGGUUUCAUAUGCGAAUUACACUGCCUACCCUAGUGAAAAAUUAUAGCACCGACACUUCAGAUUGAUGUUGUGUCUGGUGUCUGAUACAGACACAUGUUGUUACAUUAAAUCAUUUCUAUUUUCUCUUUGAAUGAUGUAUUAUUUCUCUACGUGAAUUGAGUUAUAUUUAAUCACAACUGAAGCUAUAAAGAGUGUAAGAGAUAAUUAUAGAGUUCAAAGAAAUUGGGUUGGCGAUCCAUGUGAACCCAAGAACUACAGUUGGGACUUGGGAGGGCUUAAAAUGUAACUACAAUACUUCACUUCCUCAUCUCUUUCUUCCUUCUUUGUUGAAUGAAGAAGUGUAUCACUCUAUUUGUUAUAGCUUUGUUUAAAAUAGAUUUUGGUAAUGUAAUGUAUUUUUUUAAGAAAGAAAUUUUUAAGGAAAGCUUCAAAUAAAAAAUCUGUUUAAAUAGUUUAUCUUAAAAUGUCAUUCUAAGUAUUUUAUCAUUUGGUUAUAAUUUUUUUUGGAUACUAAAAAUCAUUUUUGAAAUAUGUCAUUUUGAAAAAAUAUGUGAUUUUUACUAUGUAAAAUUUCGAACAAUGAAUAUUUAAAUUAGUGAAUGUAAAAAUCUCUUUUUUAACUUAUAUGAAAUGAGUUUGAAAUAACUUUUACUAUUUUUGAUUAAAUUUCAAAAAAAUCCAUUUUAAAAAAUACAAUGAAAAAUUCAUUUUAUUUAAAUCUAAAACAAACGGCCCCAAAAUAUCAUGAUAUUCAAUUUUCUCGUAUAGGAAUCUGUGCAGAAGCAGUCUGAGCGGAAUUAUAACUCCUUCCAUUGCCAAUUUGACAUUCUUGGAAUCUUUGAGUACACAUCUAUAAAAUUUUGAGUAAAUAUAUUGUCAUUAUGCUCUAAACACUUUACAAUGUUUUCAUUCUAAAUAAGACAGUUUGGUUCAUCUUAUAUUGAUAUCAUCAUAUACACUACAUUAUUUUGAAUCAGGGAUUUAUUUAACAAUAGCUUAAUUGGAUCAAUACCUCAGUUUUUGGAAGAAUUGAAAUCCCUUAAAUAUUUGUAAGUAUUUUUUAUGAUGGUCACAAACUACAGACAUUUUAUACUAAUUGUGCAAAAUUAUUAAUGUGCUGAUGCAAGAUAAAUCAAAUUAUUUGUAGGGAUUUAAGGGGCAACCAACUUUCAGGUUUUGUCUCUACCACUCUCCUAGAAAGAUCAAGGACUGGAUUAAUUACUUUGAGGUAAGAUUUAUAAAAGAAGACCAUGAUAUGCAUAGUGGCAAGUCAAUCUAGUUUUAAGGUUAAUAGUGCUUUUCACCCUGUAAUAUAUGUCAUUUUCGGUUUUCGCCCCUAUAAAAUUUUCGGUUUGAUUUGUACCCUCGUAAAAAAUUUUAUUUUCCGGAAAAUACCCCUAAUAGGCCAUUUUCAGAAUUUUUUUUCAAGAAAUUUUGGUUUUUAAAGGGUUAAUAGGCUUUCACCCCCCUGCCAUAUGGGGGUCUUUUGGUAUACCCCCCUGCAAAAAAAAAACUUGGAGAUUCCCCCUUGUAAAAUGUAGAUUCUUUGGUUUACCCCCCUAAGAUCACCUGACUGGAUAAAUUAACUUAAGUGGCGUGCUGACUAUGCAUUUAUCAACGACGUGGCGCGCUGAGUUGGAUUUUUAUUUUUUUUCCAUUUAUUUAUUUUGUACCUACAUUUUUUUAUUAAUUAACAAUUACUUAAAAAAAAUUAAAAAUUAAAAACAUCAUAUCUUCAUCUUCUUCCUCAUUAUCUCCUUCUUCUAUCAACCGUUUUCCAACUUUUUUUUCUUCUUACUCUUACUCCACCUCCCUUCAAUCUCUUUACUCCCUUGAGAUCCAAAUUGAAACAAUAACACAACAAUUAUUAUCCCAGCUGCCUUUUUUUUAAUAAAUUUGUAAUUAUUUUUUUUAUAAAAAAAAAACACAUUGGAAUCAAUUAAAAAAAAAGGAAAAAAAUUCAAUUCUCCAUUCAUUUCUUCUUCUCCAGAUCGCUCUUCAUCUUUCUCCAAGGAACCAACAAACCCAUCCUUCUCUUCCAUCCUCAAUAACCCUCUCCCUUCUCGAAAUUAAGGAUCCACACAACAAAACCCUCUAAAUCAGUUUCCACAAAUCAGAUUUGAACAUGUUGUGGCUUCACCCCUAAUCACACCGCCACUCCUACGCCUACGGUGGCCGCCGGUUUCGUUUCACCAUCUGCUUCGCAUCUCCAACAUGUUUCACGAUCUAUUUCACGUUUUUGGGUUUGAUUUGUUUGUUGUUUUGGUGCUGGGAGUGUCUUGGUAGCGCAAGCAGUGGUGUUGUCUGUGUUUUAGGCGUGUUUAUGUUAGUAGUGUGGGAGUCUUAUUUUGUUCUGUAUCAGUUCUGGAUUUGUGGAAGGAAAGAAAGAAAAGGUCACUGUUUGAUUAUUAUUUUUGGACUUGUGUUGAAU
rnacentral:lncRNA from 1 species